AAGUCGUAACAAGGUCUCCGUUGGUGAACCAGCGGAGGGAUCAUUACUGAGUACUACACUCUCUACCCUUUGUGAACUAUUAUACCUGUUGCUUCGGCGGCGCCCGCAAGGGUGCCCGCCGGUCUCAUCAGAAUCUCUGUUUUCGAACCCGACGAUACUUCUGAGUGUUCUUAGCGAACUGUCAAAACUUUUAACAACGGAUCUCUUGGCUCCGGCAUCGAUGAAGAACGCAGCGAAACGCGAUAUGUAAUGUGAAUUGCAGAAUUCAGUGAAUCAUCGAAUCUUUGAACGCACAUGGCGCCUUCCAGUAUCCUGGGAGGCAUGCCUGUCCGAGCGUCGUUUCAACCCUCGAGCCCCUGUGGCCCGGCGUUGGGGAUCUGCCACGGCAGGCCCCUAAAACCAGUGGCGGACCCGAAGGGCCCUCUCCUUUGCGCAGUAGCAUUCGCCUCGCAUCGGGAGUCCUCGGCGUCCUGCCUCUAAACCCCCACAAGCCCGCUUCGGCGGCACCAAGGUUGACCUCGGAUCAGGUAGGAAUACCCGCUGAACUUAA
rnacentral:rRNA from 1 species